UAAGCUCCGGCUGUGGGAAAGCUUGUGAAUCUGAGCGCUUGUUGAGAGCAGCUGGACUUGCACUGACAUAAGAGACGGCCAUCAGGAUCUAAGGACUGCACAACCAAGAUAAAUGCCUAAAGGUGACAUUGUAACUCAGUUCAGCCUUGAACUUGAGCAGUUUACCUUACGUAUGUGUUCUUCCAGGCAACUUCUGCUUCCAUCGAA